UCUCCGUUGGUGAACCAGCGGAGGGAUCAUUACCGAGUUUACAACUCCCAAACCCCUAUGUGAACGUUACCAAACUGUUGCCUCGGCGGGAAAUUCAUGCCCCGGGCGCGUCGCAGCCCCGGACCAAGGCGCCCGCCGGAGGACCAACCAAAACUCUUUUGUAUGUCCCUCGCGGACUUUUAUAAUUCUGAACCAUCUCGGCGCCCCUAGCGGGCGUUUCGAAAAUGAAUCAAAACUUUCAACAACGGAUCUCUUGGUUCUA
rnacentral:misc_RNA from 1 species